rnacentral:rRNA from 1 species
CCUACGGGUGGCAGCAGUGGGGAAUCUUCCGAAAUGGGCGAAAGCCUGACGGAGCAACGCCGCGUGAUCGAUUGAAGGCCUACGGGUUGUAAAGCUCUGUUGUCAGGGACGAAUAAGCAAUGCGAAUAGUUUUGUGUAUGACGGUACCUGUUUAGAAAGCUCCGGCUAACUACGUGCCAGCAGCCGCGGUAAUACGUAGGGAGCAAGCGUUGUCCGGAAUUACUGGGCGUAAAGGGCGCGUAGGUGGGCGCGUAAGUCAGGUGUGAAAACUCCGGGCUCAACCUGGGGACUGCACUUGAAACUGGGUGUCUUGAGGGCAGGAGAGGAAAGUGGAAUGCCUGGUGUAGCGGUGAAAUGCGUAGAUAUUAGGAAGAACACCGAUGGCGAAGGCGACUUUCUGGACUGUACCUGACGCUGAGGCGCGAAAGCGUGGGUAGCGAACGGGAUUAGAUACCCGAGUAGUC